rnacentral:rRNA from 1 species
GACGAACGCUGGCGGUGUGCUUCACACAUGCAAGUCGAACGAGGUAGCAAUACCUAGUGGCGGACGGGUGAGUAACGCGUGGGUAACCUGCCCUGUACACACGGAUAACAUACCGAAAGGUAUGCUAAUACGAGAUAAUAUACUUUUAUCGCAUGGUAGAAGUAUCAAAGCUCCGGCGGUACAGGAUGGACCCGCGUCUGAUUAGCUAGUUGGUGAGGCAACGGCUCACCAAGGCGACGACGGGUAGCCGGCCUGAGAGGGUGUCCGGCCACACUGGAACUGAGACACGGUCCAGACUCCUACGGGAGGCAGCAGUGGGGAAUUUGGGCAAGUGGGGGAGACCCUGACCCAGCGACGCCGCGUGAGGGACGAAGGCCCUUGGGUCGUAAACCUCUUUUGCAGGGGAAGAAGUGCGUGACGGUACCUUGCGAAUAAGUCCCGGCUAACUACGUG